rnacentral:rRNA from 1 species
GAAUAUUGGACAAUGGGCGAAAGCCUGAUCCAGCCAUGCCGCGUGUGUGAAGAAGGUCUUCGGAUUGUACAGCACUUUAAGUUGGGAGGAAGGGCAGUAAGCGAAUACCUUGCUGUUUUGACGUUACCGACAGAAUAAGCACCGGCUAACUCUGUGCAGGCAGCCGCGGUAAUACAGAGGGUGCAAGCGUUAAGCGGAAUUACUGGGCGUAAAGGGCGCGGGGGGGGGUCGUUAAGUUGGAGGUGAAAACCCCGGGCUCAAACUGGGAAAUGCAUCCAAAACUGGCGAGCUAGAGUAGGGCAGAGGGUGGUGGAAUUUCCUGUGUAGCGGUGAAAUGCGUAGAUAUAGGAAGGAACACCAGUGGCGAAGGCGACCACCUGGGCUCAUACUGACACUGAGGUGCGAAAGCGUGGGGAGCAAACAG